UAAUUUCUUACAAAAUUGAAGGACGAUUAGCUCGAAGUCUCAAAUAUAUUGGAGUAUACAUCAACUAAACCCACCUAUAAGUUUUUCAUUAUUUAUAAUAUCUAUGUUACAUUCUUUCAUUUGUCAUAUAAUAAAAUAUUUUCUGUUAUCUAAUAAUAGUUUUGCUUAUUUCUUAAGACAAAAUAUUUAUUUGUGUCUGUGAUUAUGCUUUCCCAUAAAAGAUUUGUCAAUAUAUAUAUAUAUAUAUAUUUGCCGUCAAAUACAUUAUAUAUAUAUAUAAUUCUUUUGACAACAAUACUUAUGCCUUAUAUAUACGCGUGCUUUGUUCACUUUCAUACUUAUUUUAUUAAAAAAGCAUAAGUUCAAUAUAAAUUCUUCAAAUUUUACAAGAAAUUAUAAAAUCUCUCAUAAGAUAUAGAACUUAAUUAGCAACCCCCGGCCCACCAAAGAAGACAGCAGCGUUCGAAGGUGAAUUUGGCCGAUAUAUUGCAUUGUAACAUUUUUUCCUAUAUUUUGCUUAUAAAGUGCUUAUAAAAUUAAAAAAAAAAA
rnacentral:sRNA from 1 species